CCUACGGGUUGCAGCAGUGGGGAAUAUUGCACAAUGGGCGAAAGCCUGAUGCAGCAACGCCGCGUGAGGGAUGACGGCCUUCGGGUUGUAUACCUCUUUUAGCAGGGAAGAAGCGAAAGUGACGGUACCUGCAGAAAAAGCGCCGGCUAACUACGUGCCAGCAGCCGCGGUAAUACGUAGGGCGCAAGCGUUAUCCGGAAUUAUUGGGCGUAAAGAGCUCGUAGGCGGUUUGUCGCGUCUGCUGUGAAAUCCCGAGGCUCAACCUCGGGCCUGCAGUGGAUACGGGCAGACUAGAGUGCGGUAGGGGAGAUUGGAAUUCCUGGUGUAGCGGUGGAAUGCGCAGAUAUCAGGAGGAACACCGAUGGCGAAGGCAGAUCUCUGGGCCGUAACUGACGCUGAGGAGCGAAAGGGUGGGGAGCAAACAGGAUUAGAUACCCCAGUAGUC
rnacentral:rRNA from 1 species